UUUGACUCAACACGGGGAAACUCACCCGGUCCGGACACUGGAAGGAUUGACAGAUUAAAAGCUCUUUCUUGAUUCAGUGGGUGGUGGUGCAUGGCCGUUCUUAGUUGGUGGAGUGAUUUGUCUGGUUAAUUCCGAUAACGAACGAGACUCUAGCCUGCUAACUAGUUCGCCGGCAGCUCUUGUCGCGCGGCGCCGCUUCGGCGGCAAACUUCUUAGAGGGACAGGUGGCGUUUAGCCACACGAAGUAGAGCAAUAACAGGUCUGUGAUGCCCUUAGAUGUCCGGGGCCGCACGCGCGCUACACUGAAAGAAUCAACGUGGAUGCCCACCUGCUCCGAGAGGAGUGGGAAACCCGAUGAAUCUCUUUCGUGAUGGGGAUUGGGGCUUGUAAUUGUUCCCCAUGAACGAGGAAUUCCCAGUAAGCGUCAGUCAUCAGCUGGCGCUGAUUACGUCCCUGCCCUUUGUACACACCGCCCGUCGCUACUACCGAUUGAAUGGUUUAGUGAGACCCUCGGACUGGAGUCCGUCCGCCGCUUUCGGGUGGUGGAUGGGGACGGAAAGACGGUCGAACUUGAUCAUUUAGAGGAAGUAA
rnacentral:rRNA from 1 species